rnacentral:lncRNA from 1 species
GUACUGUGUGAUGGUAGCCGGGGUUCCUUGUGUCUAUGGCAGGCCUGUGCUGUGGGGUAGAGGGCAGAGACUGGACACUUGAACCUUGUUAUGUUGCCCGAGAUUGGAAGAUAAAUAUUGAAGACACUCCAAUGACUUUAGGCUAACGUUCCAGAAUCCAUGUUUUUGAAUAUUAUGCCCACUCUUGUAAUUCUUUAACAUCCUCACAGUGGAGAUGGAAUAAGUGUAGGAAUGUGGCUCCAUCUUGGUCCAAUUCCCACACAUGGAGUUUUGAAAGUUUGUAAUCGGGAAGCUGGAGAUAAAGGAAAAAACAACAACAACAACAAAAACGUGUACAGAUCAUACCCUUGCUAAGAGCUGGAUCUACUGUGAGAAAAGUUGAAGAGAGAUGGGUAUGAAGUCCAUCAUGGCCCUGAAAUAUCCUCCCUGUUAUUGUUAAUGGCUUCUUGAUGAUCAGAGACAACACAAGUCAGAGGGACGAAGAUGUGGCUAAUGUCUCAGCAAAAUGACUUCUAGUCUUUCCAGUCUUGUUCAGGGAAGCUAAGAGGUGGACAGAGAGAGGUCAAAGAACGGAGAACAAAAGAUUGUGUACUCAUCCUUAAACCAUUCAUCUUUCUCAACCACUGCCCCCUUCCAUUACCAAGCCUCUGGAAACAUCCUAAAACAGGAACAGAGAUAAGCCAGGACCAGAUGAUCAAGAGGAGUGUUAUGAAAGGACUGAGUGGAGCACACUGCAUUCUUUCUACACUUUGUUUCCAUCACCCCGAAGAGGCAAGAAAAAGGAACCUGUGACAUUGCACGGCCCUGCAUUUUGCUGCUGUUGUUGUUGUUAAAGCUAAAUGACUAUGGGACUUUUCAGCCUGACCAAAGCAUGAGUGGAACAACAGAACAUUUAUGAACAGUCCUAAUGACUUCCAGAAGAAAGAACUCUGAGUUCACCAAGCUCACACUCACUUUAAAGGUAUAGAAAAUUAUUCUCAGCAAAAGGAAGGAGAGGGAGGAAGACAAAUGUUAGUAACUAAUAAAAAAAAUUCCAGUCAUAA